CCCUUCUACAACGUCCUGGUGGAGGAUGGCUCCUGCAGAUAUGCUGCCCAAGAGAACCUGGAGUACAACUCUGAGCCCCGGGAGAUCCCUCACCCCGACAUCGGCCGCUAUUUCUCCGAGUUCACCGGCGUUCACUACCUGGCAAACACCGAGCUGGAAAUUCGCUACCCGGAGGAUCUGGAGCUCACCCGAGCCACGGUGCAGAAAAUUUACAGCUCAGGCAAGGAGUGAGUGCCAAAGGCAGCCUGGGGACAGAAGCAGCUGGAGUGUAGCUUUACCCUCUUUGCAGAACUUGCGUGGGAAGCAAGUUUGGUGACAAUCCUUUGGCUUAAUGCAUUGAAAACUGCACUGAACUUGGAAACUGGUGCUACAGCAUCUUCCCGUUGUCUGCCUGCCCAUCCUGGCCCAAAGGCACAGGGACACUUUGGUACUUGAGGCCCAGCAGGAGGAUCUUGCAGGGACAGCUGUGCCAGGAGCAUUGUCCUUGGGAAGGAUCUGCACGUUCUGUCCUGCUGUGGUGGCAUUAGAAGGUCAACACAGCGAGAUCAUGCUGUGGAAUAUGGAGGAAUCCUCUCUUCCAGGGAAGGAAGCUGUUUGUCCUGGCAGUAUUUCUGUUUGGCUGUGUCUGUCUGGUUUGGUUUGAGUGUGUAUCCUGUGCAGGCAAUAGUUUUUAAAGUUUCUCACGUUUCACUGUUGUCUUCUCCGGUCUGAAUUUUUGGGUCAGGUAUUGCUUCACCCCUGUAGUCUGAUUGUUUCUAGAGCUACUGUUCCAAUCAUGAAUAUCCUUCUGAGCCUGGCAAUAUCCUUAUGGGCCUGGGAAAAAGCUCCAGCCACAAAACCAGCAGCAGUGAGGUUCGUGGGGAGGCGAGCGGUGCUGACCCGGGGGCCAGGUGGCCACCUCACCGACACAGAGACUCCGAAAGCAGAGGAGGAGCUCCUGGCCCUUUUCCAUGCCUGCUGAACACACCAGCCCAUGUCCUGACCUUGUUCUUCAGUGUGUCCAUCGUGUGUGUCCAAGGUGGGAUCGGUGGCACAGCCAUGAGUGUCCCCAGGAGGAGCUGGAGCCUCCCAGGGAUGUUUGGUGGGACCUUGAGUGACUUGGAUGGACGCGGAGCUGCCGCUCGCUGCCAUCUCCAAUUAUUUUUAUCCAAUAGGUAUUUAUGCAAUACAGUGGAAUGAUGACUGGAACCUGGCCAUCCCUGGAGUCAGCCAAACCGUUGUGGAAGCAAGAUGUUAAUUCCUGCAGCUUGAGGCCUUCUUCCUUCUUGCCAAAAGAAAACGGAUUCUAGGGGGGUGCAGACUUGGCUGCCUGCAAGGGAGGAGCUUUAGCAGCUCGAGGCACACGACUUUUAACCUUGGCUUAAAGGCCCAGACAGAACCACUGCAGAAGAGGUUUUCCUCUGGGCUCGGGGGCUGUGGGGUGCAGAGUGACACGGUGUUUGUGCAUAUCUUUGUGGUUUCUGAAGCAAUGUGUGUAGAGUAGCUGCAGCUCGUGUCUCCUGUCACUGUCCACUUGCAACACAGUAAUUCUUCCUCCGAGCUGACAACUAGGGCCCUGUAGAGGUAGGUGGAUGCUCUCUAGUCUCUUAAGCACUACAGGUAUCUCCACGUGGAAUCACAGCCCUCCUCUCCAGCAAUGCCUGCCCUGCAUGUCACCUCCUGCAACCCUGAGCACUGGUUUGCUGUGGAAAUAAAUGCUGAGAGCCCAGCA